rnacentral:rRNA from 1 species
UGCGGCGACGCAAAGCGGAACUUGAAAGCCUGUCUCAGUUCGGAUUGGAGUCUGCAACUCGACUCCAUGAAGCUGGAUUCGCUAGUAAUCGCGCAUCAGCCAUGGCGCGGUGAAUACGUUCCCGGGUCUUGUACACACCGCCCGUCACACCAUGGGAGCCAGGAAUGCCCGAAGCCAGUGGCCUAACCGCAAGGGAGGAGCUGUCGAAGGCAGGCCCGGUAACGUGGGGUGAAGUCGUAACAAGGUACC